rnacentral:rRNA from 1 species
UACGGAGGGUGCAAGCGUUGUUCGGAAUUACUGGGCGUAAAGGGCGCGUAGGCGGUUGGAUAAGUCAGCUGUGAAAACCACGGGCUUAACUCGUGGCCUGCAGUUGAGACUGUCUGGCUUGAGUGUGGGAGAGGAGAGUGGAAUUCCUGAUGUAGCGGUGAAAUGCGUAGAUAUCAGGAGGAACACCGGUGGCGAAGGCGGCUCUCUGGACCACAACUGACGCUGAGGCGCGAAAGCUAGGGGGAGCAAACAGG